rnacentral:rRNA from 1 species
CGGGACCGCACAAGCGGUGGGUGAUGUGGUUUAAUUCGAUGCAACGCGAAAACCUUACCCACCUUUGACAUGGCAGGAAUCCCGAAGAGAUUGGGAGUGCUCGAAAGAGAACCUGCACACAGGUGCUGCAUGGCUGUCGUCAGCUCGUGUCGUGAGAUGUUGGGUUAAGUCCCGCAACGAGCGCAACCCUUGCCAUUAGUUGCUACGAAAGGGCACUCUAAUGGGACUGCCGGUGACAAACCGGAGGAAGGUGGGGAUGACGUCAAGUCCUCAUGGCCCUUAUAGGUGGGGCUACACACGUCAUACAAUGGCCGGUACAGAGGGUAGCCAACCCGCGAGGGGGAGCCAAUCCCACAAAGCCGGUCGUAGUCCGGAUCGCAGUCUGCAACUCGACUGCGUGAAGUCGGAAUCGCUAGUAAUCGCGGAUCAGCAUGUCGCGGUGAAUACGUUCCCGGGUCUU